UACGUAGGUGGCGAGCGUUUGUCCGGAAUUACUGGGUGUAAAGCGCGUGUAGGCGGGAGGCCAAGUCUGUGGUGAAAUCGCUCGGCUUAACUGGGCGGGGUCCAUGGAAACUGGUCACCUGGAGGUCGGUAGAGGCAAGUGGAAUUCCCGGUGUAGUGGUGAAAUGCGUAGAGAUCGGGAGGAACACCAGUGGCGAAGGCGGCUUGCUGGGCCGGACCUGACGCUGAGACGGCG
rnacentral:rRNA from 1 species